CUGUGUAAAUCCUGGAUCCACCAUUUACCAGCUGUGUAACCCUGGACAACAAUUCCAUCUUUCUGACCUCAGUGUCUUUCUCUGCAAAACAGGGGUAAGAAUAAUCCUACUUCAAUAGAGCUGCUGUGAGGAUUCACUGAGAUAAUGUGUACAAAGUUCCUACAAUAGUACUGAACCCACAGCCAUGGAUUCAAGACCACUAACUUAUAAUCAGUGAUAUCCAAGAGGAUGGGAAGAGAAUAUUAAGCCUGGUGCUCUGCAAAUUAAUACUUGGAGCUUAAAAAUACGCUGGACAUGUGACAAUGGUGCUGAGUACUUUGGGGGAAGAUCACAACAGUCCUGGUAGCAGUGUUACAGCAAAAUAUUUCAGAGGUACCAGAUGAGCUAGCUCCAAGGCAAAUGAGGCAAUAUUAUGUUUAACUGUUUGUUCGGAAACUUCUUUUAUUAAAAAAGAUUUUAAAUAUUAAUGCUAUUUUCAAUACAGGUGUGAUAACACUCAAUAAAGCAUAGUGUACUUGAUAU
rnacentral:antisense_RNA from 1 species